GAUGAACGCUGGCGGCGUGCCUAAUACAUGCAAGUCGAGCGAACGGACGAGAAGCUUGCUUCUCUGAUGUUAGCGGCGGACGGGUGAGUAACACGUGGAUAACCUACCUAUAAGACUGGGAUAACUUCGGGAAACCGUAGCUAAUACCGGAUAAUAUUUUGAACCGCAUGGUUCAAAAGUGAAAGACGGUCUUGCUGUCACUUAUAGAUGGAUCCGCGCUGCAUUAGCUAGUGGUAAGGUAACGGCUUACCAAGGCAACGAUGCAUAGCCGACCUGAGAGGGUGAUCGGCCACACUGGAACUGAGACACGGUCCAGACUCCUACGGGAGGCAGCAGUAGGGAAUCUUCCGCAAUGGGCGAAAGCCUGACGGAGCAACGCCGCGUGAGUGAUGAAGGUCUUCGGAUCGUAAAACUCUGUUAUUAGGGAAGAACAUAUGUGUAAGUAACUGUGCACAUCUUGACGGUACCUAAUCAGAAAGCCACGGCUAACUACGUG
rnacentral:rRNA from 1 species